UAUAGUAAUAAAAUAGAAAAAACAGACAAGUAUGUGUAUGUGAUGCAAAAGGUAAAAUUAAAAACAAGGCUAGAAUGCGUGAAUGUUAACUUUGAGUUCUACAACUAGGAGCAAAAUGCUAUGAACAUGGACUACAGUAGUUCAUACUAGAGGGAACAGUAACAUGAUCUGUGGCUGCUGGAGCUCGGCAAGUGAAACAGUGGUGUGAGAGUUGAUGGUGGAGCAGCACUGUGGGACCCAUUUUUGUAUUGUUACCUUAUGUGUGCCGCUACGGGUCACCUUUUGUGUUUUUACGUAUGGUGUGUUUAUGGAAAUGUAUUGAAGAUAAACGUAACUCAAGCCAGGUGUUUUUGGUCAGAACAAGCAAACAGUUUGUAAAAUCUGCGCUGUUAUGAUAAAUGACAUUGAAUAAAGAGAAGCAAAUAAAACUGAUGAAUACAAAAACAAUCUUAACCGUACAAGACAAGUAUAGAUUGAGUUGGGCUGUUACAAGUUUAAUUCAUAACAGUUACAUUGCCUCACCCCUGCCAUCAAACCCUUCAGUGGCUUCAAGUGUAGGCAUAGCCUCUACAGGUACUGCAGCAGAGGGAGAGCAGAGUCAGGAGGGUCUUGGAAGAAGUUCAGAAAAGAUCCAAAUAGGCAGUCUGAACAGUCUUACUUGUUUGCAGGUGGAGUAAUGCAUGAAUGGAUAAAAAAGAGUGAGAGGUUAUCAGCUGUUGAGGAGCAAAUGGAGAUCCGUGUCCAGGGGAGUGAUGCUAUUGCGAGUGUGAAAGGUUGUCCAGGAAGUAACUAAGAAGACAUGAACAGAGAGGUGGUGAUCCUCAGAGGAGCGAUGAAGUAGAGCAGCCAGCACCCCAAGUAGAGCAGGCACUGUGGAAAAAUAGUUGUGACUCAACCAGACCAUUACAAAGUAUGGCCUGGAGGAUUUUCAUCUCAAGGUGCAAGAACAUUCUUAAUGACUGUACACGGC